rnacentral:rRNA from 1 species
AGUGAACGCUGGCGGUAGGCCUAACACAUGCAAGUCGAACGGCAGCACAGUAAGAGCUUGCUCUUACGGGUGGCGAGUGGCGGACGGGUGAGGAAUACAUCGGAAUCUACUUUUUCGUGGGGGAUAACGUAGGGAAACUUACGCUAAUACCGCAUACGACCUACGGGUGAAAGCAGGGGAUCUUCGGACCUUGCGCGAUUGAAUGAGCCGAUGUCGGAUUAGCUAGUUGGCGGGGUAAAGGCCCACCAAGGCGACGAUCCGUAGCUGGUCUGAGAGGAUGAUCAGCCACACUGGAACUGAGACACGGUCCAGACUCCUGCGGGAGGCAGCAGUGGGGAAUAUUGGACAAUGGGCGCAAGCCUGAUCCAGCCAUACCGCGUGGGUGAAGAAGGCCUUCGGGUUGUAAAGCCCUCUUGUUGGGAAAGAAAAGCAGCAGGUUAAUACCCCGCUGUUCUGACGGUACCCAAAGAAUAAGCACCGGCUAACUUCGUG